GGUAACACUGUCGUUUUUAUAAUGGUCGUCAUGAAAAAAACAUAAGGGGGUAACACUGUUGUUUUUUAUUGGUCGUCAUGAAAAAAAACGUAAGGGGUAACACUGUCGUUUUUUAUGGGUCGUCUUGAAAAAAAACAUGAGGGGUAACACUGUCGUUUUUUAUGGGUCGUCUUGAAAAAAAACAUAAGGGGUAACACUGUCGUUUUUUAUUGGUCGUCUUGAAAAAAAACAUAAGGGGUAACACUGUCGUUUUUUUAUUGGUCGUCAUGAAAAAAAACAUAAGGGGUAACACUGUUGUUUUUUAUUGGUCGUCAUGA
ensembl:lncRNA